UACGGAGGGUGCAAGCGUUAUCCGGAUUCACUGGGUUUAAAGGGUGCGUAGGCGGGCAGGUAAGUCCGUGGUGAAAUCUCUGAGCUUAACUCAGAAACUGCCAUGGAUACUAUUUGUCUUGAAUAUUGUGGAGGUAAGCGGAAUAUGUCAUGUAGCGGUGAAAUGCUUAGAUAUGACAUUGAACACCAAUUGCGAAGGCAGCUUACUACACAGUUAUUGACGCUGAGGCACGAAAGCGUGGGGAUCAAACAGG
rnacentral:rRNA from 1 species